rnacentral:rRNA from 1 species
ACUCCUACGGGAGGCAGCAUUGAGGAAUAUUGGUCAAUGGAGGGAACUCUGAACCAGCCAUCCCGCGUGUAGGAAGACGGCCUUAUGGGUUGUAAACUACUUUUAUACAGGAAGAAACGUACCCUCGUGAGGGUGCCGUGACCGGUGACUGUAGGAAUAAGCACCGGCUAACUCCGUGCCAGCAGCCGCGGUAAUACGGAGGGUGCGAGCGUUAUCCGGAUUUAUUGGGUUUAAAGGGUCCGUAGGCGGAUUAAUAAGUCAGUGGUGAAAUCCCAUCGCUUAACGAUGGAACUGCCAUUGAUACUGUUAGUCUUGAAUGAGGGUGCAGUGGUUGGAAUGUGUAGUGUAGCGGUGAAAUGCAUAGAUAUUACACAGAACACCGAUUGCGAAGGCAGAUCACUAACCCUAAAUUGACGCUGAGGGACGAAAGCGUGGGGA